rnacentral:rRNA from 1 species
AGGAUGAACGCUGGCGGCGUGCUUAACACAUGCAAGUCACGGGGGCCCAGCAAUGGGCAACCGGCGAACGGGUGCGUAACACGUGAGCAACCUACCGAAUUGUGGGGGAUAGCCGGCCCAACGGCCGGGUAAUACCGCAUACGCUCGAGACGAGGCAUUUCGACUCGAGGAAACCUCCGGGGCAAUUUGAGGGGCUCGCGGCCUAUCAGCUAGUUGGUGAGGUAACGGCUCACCAAGGCGACGACGGGUAGCUGGUCUGAGAGGAUGGCCAGCCACAUUGGGACUGAGAUACGGCCCAGACUCCUACGGGAGCAGCAGUGGGGAAUCUUGCGCAAGU